UCUUGCAAUUACGCCACUCUUUGUCUUUAAACUGUUCAGGUCAGUUGCUCUUCACCGUGCUCUACUAAGCCUGGCAGUGAUCUGCAUCAAGUGAAUUCGAUAUAUCUUCCGAUUGGUUCAGAGACUUUGUCGAUGCAGAUGUUUGAGAUGCUGGUGAAGAAGAGAGGAACACUGUAUUUGUCUUUGCUUAUGACUAUGAUUUGCAACGUCAUUUUGACUGUAUCAUCAACUGACACGAAUGACAACAACAGCAUGUGCAUUGGUGAAAAGGGAGAAAAGGGAGACGUUGGCCAUCAGGGUCCUCAAGGCGUGCGCGUAAGUGUUUCGUCGCUCAAAAAUUUUGGAAAUUGUGCAUGAGUGCUAGAAGAGUAUACCAGAUUUAGCUAUCCACUAUUGCACAUGCAUCCACGUGUGUCAAACGUCGUGUCUCUAAUUACGUGUAAAUGGUGUGAAAAGUGUCACUUUAUUAGCUAAUUAGAGGUGUACACUACAACACAUCUAAUUUAAAAUACGCUGCUCUUGCUCGAUCAAUUAACAGUUCAGCUAUUGCUAACUAUUCUUCUCUUUACAAUGUGUACGACUAUGACGGUCGACGAAGCCUUGCGACGCCGGCAAAGCCGUUCUGCUGGAUAGGUGUCAAACGCCGACGCUCCCGCUAAUAUGGAGACAGCGUCUGAGACUCCAACUUACUGCUAGCCCCGCCCCAGAUGCAGAGUGUGGUUUGCAGCCUCGGAUUGUCUGUCAUCACCUCUGCCUCUGUUUCGGUAUCGCCACUUGCUGUCAGCGAUAAUCAUGCAAAUGUAGUUGUCGGCGUAGUAGGAAACGAGUGUAGCGUUAGAUCUUCGAUCGCUAGAUAACGUGCAGUACUUCAGUCCAAUGCAUUUCAGUGGAGCCGUAGGAUGCAUUGCUGCUUCAACUGCGAAGCUGUGUACGCGUACAAAGACGUGCAAGUACCAUUUCUGAUCAACCAAUUCACCGCUACGCACCCACUUGCAAACGCUUGACAGCAGCUCAGAACCGCAAUGUCGACAAGCACAGAGUCCAGAACAACGUCAAAGUCCAAUGGAAAGCUCAGUUCAUUGCUAAUAUACUUAUUAUGACUUAAUCAAAACGUUGAAACAGGUUCUUGAGCAUCUUGUCGAACAGACAUCAGCUUGCGUUUAAAAUGACGUGCAGGGUUUUUUGGACCAAAAUUGAGCAGAUAACCUUGAAUCUGUCCCAUGUAGCUCCUUCUGCUGUUACAGUAGACAAAAAACGCGAUACUUGGCACGAGCGCGUCCAGCAAGCGCGACAGUGGCGUGUCGUAAAAGGUGAGCUGGUGUCAAACUUCGCAGAUUCGAGACAGCAUGAACAUGGAACAGCCAACUGUUGAUGUCUUCUCCGUCGUUUCCGCAGAAUGUAUCUUGCUGAACGGGGACUAAUAAGCGACGAACAAGCUCACCUGUAUCGUGGCCACUGAUGGGGUCAGGAAUGACAGAACGAACUGACGGCGUACGAGUAUGAGCUCUUCGGCUUCUCGACUUCGGCAUAGCUAAGAACUUGAACCUCUGACAAGUAAACAAAUCGGUUCUCCACCAAACGUGAUGAGAGGCUGUGGAAGUACACAGGGAUCGUACAGUAGACGAAAAGCAAUGUAUUGUGGAGUGAACUUCCGAAAUAGUCCUAGUAUGGAAGUAAUCGUAGCUACUCUCUACGAACAUGAACAUAAUUGCUCUACACUAUUAUUAAUUAUUAAAAUUGAUUUGAUUACAUACUUGCUCCC